CCGGGACUUGGGGAGCGAGGGAUGCAACAUGGUGCAUCUGGGAGGCCUGCUAACUGGCUAACUUCUCCGGCGUUCCUCCCGGCCGAGGCGUGGGCACAGAAUAGCGCAGGUGAGGCCCAGAUAUGGUGUCUCGAUACGGCGCGGAAGGUAAGCGACCCCCGGGCCGGCGGGUCGGGGAAUGGUGCUGACCUUGGAGGCCUCGGUCCGCCACGCCGCCCUUGAGCCUAAGGUCGCCGAACGACCGCCGCCCCCCACCCCUCCACUUCCGCCUCAGCAUGGCCACCCUGACUCGACUACCUGCACUGCAUGGUUCACCGACCUGUGAGCCCACGGAUCUGGCUGUGAGCCCAGCCUUCGGCAUCACAACUCAUUCCUUCCUCCAGCGCCGGUGCAUCUCGGGCCAUUCAUUCCCUGCGCCUUCCAGCAUCUGCUCCUCCAGCUUUUGCAGAUCAUGGCAGGGGCGCCUGCCCAGCCCCCCCCCCCCCCCCCACCACCACCACCACCACCGGGAUGCGGUUCUCCAGCUUCCUCUCGCUGCUCAUCCCAGGUGCACCGGUUUCUGCCUCUGCCUUGUUCUCAGACAUUCGGAGUCAGUAUCCCAAGGCAAUGUUUUCCUCGCUUCUUUUUCCUCGUUACUUUUCCUUUAUAUGCAGGGCACCUCUCCUCACGUGUAGGUGCUCUGUUCACACUUCUGAGUGCUGUUAAAAUAGCAGUCCGGGUAGACAGAGAGGGGCACUUCUCUCAGUUUGGAAGCACUUUCUUCCUGGGGCUGGUUUGGAAAGCUCAGACCAUCCUGUAAGAAGUUCCUUUAUUGUUUACAAAACAUGUCUAGGAUUUUACUGCUUUCUUUCGACCAGGUAUAAUGUAGAAUGGUAUGUAGAUAAAAAUAGGGACACAUAAUAUAAAGGAUUUGUAACUUUUAAGGAGUAUGUAAUAACUCUUAGUUUUUGCCUGGAGAAUGCGUGUUCCUCCUUUGCGUAGAAUAAGACAUACCUUAAUCUAGUUCCUAUGGAGUGCACAUUAGCUCAGUUUAACGUUACCUCGAUGGGCUUUCUAAAUGUUUGAGUCUGUUAUCUCACACUGACUGGGCUUUGCCCAGGGAAAUACUGCUAGAAUCUGCCCUUCCUGUGCGGCCUGUCCUGGACACUUGGAAGGUUACCUGAAUGAAGCCCUCCAUCCAAGAAUUCAGUCUACUAGAGUGCACUCAGCUUACUGCUUAGCCUAGUUAUUUGCCAUUUUUCCUGAAUUACUCUUGUUUUCUUUUUUUGUGUCUUUUAGGUCAGUAUGUACCUCGUUUUGUAUAUUGUCUUGAAACUUUACUCCUUUGUAUGGUAAUUAAUGCAUAUUUGUUCACUUUUUAAAAGGUGGGAUUCACCUUAAAGAUUAAUUUCUAUGAUUCUCAGGUAGAAAAAUACAAAUUUUCAAAGCUAAUGUGCUUAAAUAUGUAACUUCAUUCCUUUCAUCCCAAUUGAAAACUAACAUUCUAAAUAGUGAGAAAAAACUUCUCAACAACCAAUCACUGCUAAUAAGUUCCAAUGACGACAUAUACCUAUAGAGUCAAACAUACACCCUUCAAUAGCUUUUGAAGUGGAAAGAUCAAAGACUUAGAUAUGGGUUUGAAUUAUGUCUCUGCUGGUUGUAUGACUUUGAGCUUUUCAUUCAUAGUUUGAAGACAUCAUUUUCCAGUUUUGGAGCCGACUAAUGAACUAGUUCUUAAGUGAAAGGCAUUUAACACGACUGUGCAUCUACAGGUACUAGGUUUCCAAGAUGCCUUUCCAGACUAAAACCCACACAUGUGAGCCGCUGGCCGGACAAACAUCUGGCACCUAACGUGGGGCUGAAAAACAGCAGAGGACAUUUGGAAGAAACACUGCUGGUUUGGAGCUCCAUAGAAGAAGAAAAUAAUUAAAGGAAAUUCAUACCAGAGAAGGUCAGUAUGGGCUAAGCUGAAACAGCGUUUAACCUGAGCGCUAAUUCGCUUAGGUUCAGCAGUGAGGCAUCUCAGGAGCUAGGAACGUAACAGGCGGUUAGCCAUAGCUCCCAGAAGCUACAUUUUUAGGCGUGAGAAAAGAAAGGGUUUAUUAAAAGGAAAUUAAUAAUAAGGCGGACUGCAUCAUGCGGGAGGAAAAUGUCCCAAAAAGCAGAGAGAAAUUUCCGGAGUGCCAUGCUUUGUUCUCUCUGGGCUUUACAGCAGAAAUACUCUGCCCCUUUUGUGUCUUGUCUAAUGUCUGGUGCACUGAAAGACCCACAACAUGAGGACUCCCCCACGUUCUGACUCAGGAGAGGCGACACCCCAAACCACUCACAAGAAACGGUCUUGCUGCAAACUGCAAGAGGAUUUUUAUUCAAGAGCGCUCUCAGGCCCACGGUCAUACACCACACAGGGGUAGAGGACUUUCGCGUCCUGAGUUGCUGGGAAAGGGGGUAUUUAAAGGAAGAAACCACAACUCAAGGAAGUGGGGAGGGCGUUGUUGGAAAAUACAAAGAUACCAGUUAAGAGUCCCAAGGAAGUGCAAACUCACAAGAGUCACAAGGAAUACCUGGAAAUUUUGCAGGUUAUCUCUCAAGACAGUUUCUAAGAGGCCCUAACAAUAGCACAUUUGCAUAGUGGGUUCCGCCAAUGGUCAGGGUGACUUUCUUUGAAUGAACACUCUUUGAACCCAGGAAGCAGGUGGGUAGAGGAAUGUCACUAUCUGUUUUAUGAUUAGCAUACCUUGGAGCAUUAAGUCACAGAGGUCACAUUCCCAAGCCUGGGCCUAAAGGCCUAGAAUUUUGUUUUUAUGUUAUACUUUCAGCACCAAUCUGUUCACAUGUUCAAUUCAUGUAUGUUUGUGUCCAGUCUGUAUGAAUGAAUGUUCUAUGUUUUAUGUUGGAUAAUAAAGAUGGCAAAAAAAAUAAAAAACUUUAUCUGCAAAGCCGAGAGCUGCCACGUGCUACAACCAGGAAACAGACACAUGGCAGGAGGGCCCCUGCUGAAAAAACUGUUAUAGGAAAAAAGGGCGAGUCUACAGCCUCUCAGUUUCGGGGUAAAAAAAGCUGAUGAAUGUUUUUUUCCUGGAGGGUUCUCUACAAUCGUGAUUAAUAUGUUUGGCAAAUGAUAAAGUGCUUUUUAUUCCAUGAUUGUAGCUAGAAAAAUUAAUAUUCUCUGAUUGGUCUAAAUGUAACUGCUUCAUUUGGUUUUUUUAUUGGUAAUGUGCUCUGCGUGUUUUCACUAUCAGGUCAUAAGUUAUGGGUUAAGAUUAAUAAUUGUUACAUUGCUACAGAUGGUUAGUCUUAAAAUUGAUAACUCAAGUUUAAUGUCUUUCCAACACAUGGCAUAAGGCAGGCCGAGAGGCUGGGUCUCUAAAGAUAUUUCUAGUUAAGAUAAUAAUUAAUGUGGUUCCUAUCCUAGAAAGUAGAAUUUAAGAUAAGAGUUAAAGCAAUGUCUCUUUAUUAAAGCAUUAAAGCUUACAUGUAUUCAUAGGUAUUAAUUGGCAGCCAGGCUUCGUAAUAUGAUAGAAAUGCUUCUAAUAUUAAUUCUAUGAGUAAUAAAUUGUUUUAAAAUUAGGCUUUACUUUCCCAAAGUUAAUGUUGCAAAAGAAACUUAAUAAUUCUUUACAGAUCUAGCCAGAUGCUGUUUUAAUGAAGUUCAAGUUCAUAGUUUGUAAAGAGUCAAUCAGACCGUAAAAUUUAUCAAGGCAUUACAGUCUGGUUUGCCUACCUUUUAUAUAGUUAUUUUAAAUCCGAAGGUUUGUUUCUUUUUCUCUCUCCUUUGCAUCUUAAUGAUUGUAAAGGUUUGGCCUCUAGUGAGUUUGUAAUAACCUAAAUAUUUUGCCUCUAAUAUGGCUAAAUAUUGAUCUACAUUAUGUAAAAAUUUUUUAUCAUUUCUGCUUCUAUACAAGAAGCCAAAAUUUUUUAAUCUUUCAAUGUAUAUUUUUUCCUAAGUGAAAAAUGUUUUAUUAACUAAUGCUUCUCAAGGGAAGUUUACUUUAAAUCUUUGCUCUCACCCAAAAGAUUCAGAGACAAUAUCCUUUUAUUACUUAGGGUUUUAGUUUACUACAAAAGGUUUUACAAAAAAUAAAGAAAGCUUUUAUAGUUGUUGUUAACUAUAUUCAUUGGCAAUUAAAUAUUAGCUGUGCCCAAGACAAUUCCUUGGCCAGAAAAAACAUUGUAAAGUCAUUUUUCUGAUCCUUCCAGCCGAUCCUUGGCCCAUGUGAGCCCAGCUAGCUGCUGGCUGCUGUGGGGCGGGGCCUUGAGACACACAGUUUCCCCCUGUUUCAGCACAAAUAAUCUAGUUGUGUGCUGUAGAUGGUGUUUUAAAAUACUGAACAAUCAAUCCUUAAUUUGUAUAUUGAUAGUCAAUGCUAUAUCUCAGAGCUCACAAUUGCUUAAGAUUGUCCGUCCCUCAGAUACUAUUAAUUCUCAAAUUUGCAAUUGCUUAUGCAUAUAUAACUCAUAGAAAAAAAUGCUGUCCUUUUAAGAAGACGGUUUUUAGACAUUUAUUAAAUUGUCCUAAUUGCCUGGACAUUUUAAAACAAUGCCAGGAUAAAUUUAUAUCUCAGACAGUCUAUAGAUCGUCCAUAUAAAAUAGAUUGGAUAUAUAACCUUGUUCUUUAUAUAUUCAUAACAGUUAUGGUUUAAGAUAAUGUUUUAGUAUUCUUAAAAAUUGUGCAUGUAUAAUUCUUUCUUUUUAGUGUCCUCAGUUAUUACUUGUUUCCACAUAAUAGUGUUAAUUCUUGAGGACUUUUACUUAAUAAUUUGCGACAAAUAAAUGCUCUUAUUUCUAGUUAACACCCCAGUGAUGGCUAUUCUUGGUCAUAAACUUCACUACAUAUGGAAAUACUAAAACCCAAUCCAUUGGGGUCCAAACCAAUGGAGGGAUCGUUCUUGAUUGGAUCAUUCAAGAUGGAAAGACCCACCUUAAAUCUGGAUCAUUUGACCUGGAUCAGAAGAUCCACUCUAAAUAUGGGCCACACCUUCUAGAGACAAUGUAUAUAAAAGAACAGAGAAAAAAGCCCUUGUUUUUGCCUGCUUCCCUUCACUCUGACUGACAAAUUCACCCAUUCUGCUGCUGAGGCAUUCCUUCACUGGUAUUAGAAGCCACUUCUUCAGGAUUCCAAUGUAGACUGAAGACCAGCUGAGACAUCCAGCCCCAUGGAUCAAACAAUUAUUGGAUUCUUGGACUAUCGUAUCAGACUAGACAGACUAGAGACUUUAAGCCUCUCUAAUAAAUUGUACAUACAGAGAUAGAGAUAGAUAGAUAGAUAGAUAGAUAGAUAGAUAGAUAGAUAGAUAGAGUGUGCAUUCGUGUGUGUGUGUGUGUGUGUGUGUGUGUGUGUGUGUGUUGUCAUUGCUCUUAUUACCCAGGACUUGAUGGUAAAAUGGUAAGACACUAUUGCUGAAGACACCACAUACAUAGACAUGGAGAAACAAGUUGGUUCUUGCCUAAAGUUUUCAUCCCUACUGUCUAGUUUUCAUGGUGCUAAAGAAUAAUAGAAACCAGGCUUACUCAGUUGUGGAUGCUGUAAGUUGCAUUAGCAACCAGUCUGGCAAUACAUACCCACCAAUGUAAUGAUGGCAUGAAUGUCAUGGCAGUGACCAACCAGUUUCUGUUUAGACUUAAAGCCUGCUCCAAAAGAGGGAAUCCAUAUCUGAUACUAUUACUGAGACCACUAUAAGGAACUAUCUCUAUAAGGAUAUAGUAUUUUCUAGACUCAACAAGACAGUCGCAAAUAUAAACUCACAGAUUUAUUAUGACAUGACAAAAGCCUAUAAAAUCCCAAGCUAGAUAAACUCUCAGAAUGGAGAGGGGAGGUGGGCAAAAAAUUCCAUCCCUACCUGAGGUGCUUCUGGUAGUUGAUGGUGCCUGUUAGAUUGAGUUUGUUUCAUUUAAGGAUAUGGCCCCUGGUAGGUCAAUCAUUGUCUUAAGGUUGCUAUUGUGAUAAAACACCAGGAAAAAAGCAGAUUGUGGAGGGAAGGGUUUGUUUCAGGUUAUAUGUCUCAAUCACAAUCCAUCAUGAAAGGAAGUGAGGGCAGGAGUUCAAGGCAGGAACCUGGAAGCAGGAACUGAGGCAAAGGCUAUGAAAGAACACUGUUUACUGGCUUGUUCCACAUGACUUAACCAGUAUACUUUCCUAUACCAUUCAAGAUCACCUGCCCAGGGUGAGAACUGGCUCUCUGUGGGCUAGCCACAUCACUCAAUAAAAUGCCCCAUGAGCCUGCCCACAGGCUGUUGUGUGGCAAUGGGUUGGGGAUUAUUGAUUGAUAUUCCUUCUUCAAUGACAUGUGCCAAGUUGACAUAAAAUACCCAUAGAAAGAGUUACAGAGAGAAAAUUCAGAGCUGAGAUGGAAGGAAGGACCAUCCAGAAACUGCCCCACUUGGGGAUCCAUCCCAUAAACAACCACCAAACCCAGACACUAUUGCAUAUGCCAGCAAGAUUUUGCUGACAGGAGCCUGAUAUAGCUGUCUCUUGUGAGUCUAUGCCAGUGCCUGGCAAAUACAGAAGUGAAUGCCCACAGUCAUAUAUGGAACACAAGGCCAACAAUAAAGGAGCUAGAGAAAGUACCCAAGGAGUUAAAGGGUUCUGCAACCCUAUAGGAGGAACAACAAUAUGAACUAACCAGUACCACCACCACCCCAGAGCUUGUGUCUCUAGCUGCAUACGCAGCAGAUGAUGGCUUAGUAGGACAUCAAUGGGAGGAGAGGCCCUUGGUCUUGUGAAGAUCAUAUGCCCCAGUACAGGAGAAGGCCAGGGCCAGGAAGCAGGAGUAGGUGGAUUGGGGACCAGGGUGGGGGGACAGUAUAGGGAACUUUCAGGAUAGCACUUGAAAUGUAAAUGAAAAUAUCUACUAAAAAAAAAUAGCUAGCAGAACCCCAGGACACUCAACGAAGUUGAAAGUCGUUUUUGUUUUUUGGUUUUAGUUUUUUCCAACGGUUAAAAGUACCCUACAUGCUUUCAAAGUAAGUCAUUGUAUUUUGCCAUUUUUAAAUGUCAGCAUUUGCUACU
rnacentral:lncRNA from 1 species